rnacentral:rRNA from 1 species
AGGGUUCGAUUCUGACUCAGGAUGAACGCUGGCGGCGUGCUUAACACAUGCAAGUCGAACGGAGUUUUUAAAGUGGAAGUUUUCGGAUGGAAGUUUAGAAACUUAGUGGCGGACGGGUGAGUAACGCGUGGGUAACCUGCCUCAUACAGGGGGGAUAACAGUUAGAAAUGACUGCUAACACCGCAUAAUAUAGCGAAACCGCAUGAUUUUUGCUAUCAAAUAUUUAUAGGUAUGAGAUGGGCCCGCGUCUGAUUAGCUAGUUGGUGGGGUAAAAGCCUACCAAGGCGACGAUCAGUAGCCGGCUUGAGAGAGUGACCGGCCACAUUGGGACUGAGACACGGCCCAAACUCCUACGGGAGGCAGCAGUGGGGAAUAUUGGACAAUGGGGGAAACCCUGAUCCAGCCGACGCCGCGUGAGUGAAGAAGUAUUUCGGUAUGUAAAGCUCUAUCAGCAGGGAAGAUAAUGACAGUACCUGACUAAGAAGCCCCGGCUAACUACGUGCCAGCCGCCGC